GAGUUUGAUCAUGGCUCAGAACGUACGCUGGCGGCACGCCUAACACAUGCAAGUCGAACGAAGUAGCAAUACUUAGUGGCAGACGGGUGAGUAACAUGUAGGUAUCUGCCCUUUGGCCUGGAAUAACACGAGGAAACUUGUGCUAAUACCGGAUAAGUCUUUACGGAGAAAGCUUUAUGCACCAUUGGAUGAGCCUGCACUUGAUUAGUUUGUUGGUGGGGUAAUGGCCUACCAAGACUGUGAUCAAUAGCUGAUUUGAGAGGAUGAUCAGC
rnacentral:rRNA from 1 species